GCUCUUUUGAAACGUCCUCACCGUAUCGGAGGUACACGUUGCGGUCAGCUGACGGCGCAGUCUCGCCGGGCAGCGCCGCCGGAGACGCGACACCACACUCCUUUGUGUCGAGACGAUUAGUACACAGACCACGCUGGUAGCUCGAGGAGUGCAGCCCGCGAGGAUUUCCAGACUACACUACGAGUUCAGGUCCGUUGAAUAGUGUUGCUAUAACCAAAAAGUCCUCGCAUUAUGUUCCUCUAUGAUGAAGACAUUUGUAACAUUCUAAUUUUAUAAUAAACUUAAAAGCAACGAA